rnacentral:rRNA from 1 species
CCUACGGGUGGCAGCAGUGGGGAAUAUUGGACAAUGGGGGGAACCCUGAUCCAGCCAUGCCGCGUGUGUGAAGAAGGCCCUCGGGUUGUAAAGCACUUUCAGUGAGGAAGAACGCCUGGUGGUUAAUACCCAUCAGGAAAGACAUCACUCACAGAAGAAGCACCGGCUAACUCCGUGCCAGCAGCCGCGGUAAUACGGAGGGUGCGAGCGUUAAUCGGAAUUACUGGGCGUAAAGCGCGCGUAGGUGGCUUGAUAAGCCGGUUGUGAAAGCCCCGGGCUCAACCUGGGAACGGCAUCCGGAACUGUCAAGCUAGAGUGCAGGAGAGGACGGUAGAAUUCCCGGUGUAGCGGUGAAAUGCGUAGAGAUCGGGAGGAAUACCAGUGGCGAAGGCGGCCUUCUGGACUGACACUGACACUGAGGUGCGAAAGCGUGGGUAGCAAACAGGAUUAGAUACCCGUGUAGUC